rnacentral:rRNA from 1 species
AUGCAAGUCGAGCGGGCGUAGCAAUACGUCAGCGGCAGACGGGUGAGUAACGCGUGGGAACGUACCUUUUGGUUCGGAACAACACAGGGAAACUUGUGCUAAUACCGGAUAAGCCCUUACGGGGAAAGAUUUAUCGCCGAAAGAUCGGCCCGCGUCUGAUUAGCUAGUUGGUGAGGUAAUGGCUCACCAAGGCGACGAUCAGUAGCUGGUCUGAGAGGAUGAUCAGCCACAUUGGGACUGAGACACGGCCCAAACUCCUACGGGAGGCAGCAGUGGGGAAUAUUGGACAAUGGGGGCAACCCUGAUCCAGCCAUGCCGCGUGAGUGAUGAAGGCCCUAGGGUUGUAAAGCUCUUUUGUGCGGGAAGAUAAUGACGGUACCGCAAGAAUAAGCCCCGGCUAACUUCGUGCCAGCAGCCGCGGUAAUACGAAGGGGGCUAGCGUUGCUCGGAAUCACUGGGCGUAAAGGGUGCGUAGGCGGGUCUUUAAGUCAGGGGUGAAAUCCUGGAGCUCAACUCCAGAACUGCCUUUGAUACUGAGGAUCUUGAGUUCGGGAGAGGUGAGUGGAACUGCGAGUGUAGAGGUGAAAUUCGUAGAUAUUCGCAAGAGCACCAGUGGCGAAGGC